UUAUAUGCUUUUGCAGUUGCCAUUUUCUAAUAUAAUAUGUCUAUAACCUAAGACUGUGCAUGUCCAAGCCCAUGUUUAAAAAGGUUUUUACACAAUGCUAAAUUGUUACACAAUGCUAAAUUGUUCACUUGUAAAAAAGCAAUAUCUAAGUGUAGGCAAUUAUUUUGUUUACAACGUUAACAGAAGCCAAUCUAUUAGAGAAUCCAUGACUGGUUGCCGGUCAGAGAGAGCAAGAAUGGAAAAUACUGAAAUCCACCAAGUACACUGCGCAAAAUUAGAUAUUUUUUCCUUUACACAUGAGCUUGCACUCUAAUGGCAGUUUCUGUGCUGCUAACCACCUUGACUUGUUAUUUAAAUGUACAGUAGUAUUUGGUACAGAAAGCAGGUACAUUUUAUGUUAAAGGGUAUAGCAUUCAUUGGCAAUCAUAGCAUGUCUAUGAUUUUAGUUUUGUUUUAUAUAUGCUUUGAGGCUGAAUACUACAGCCUUGCUGCAUCCCAAGAGUGGGAGUUUGACAGGUUGAAACGUAAUCAUUUAAUGCUUUAAGGAAUAAGAGACGAUUUACUGAUUUCAUAUAUAUACCUCGAUGUUGUCUGUUGACUGGUGAUAGUAGCCCAGUUUCAUGUGGACUAGCAUCACCGAGAAUGUAUGGGAGGUAACUUGGGCAAAAAAAUAAUGGAUGUGAGUGGAUAUUUUAACAUUUAAUGACAUGACUUUGUAUCCACCACAACCACUAAACAAAAAAAGCAAUGUUGGCAAAAGGGUUCCAUGCAAUAUGACAACGCCAGUUCUACUUGUAAUGGUUCCAGUGGCUGGGUGGGGACUGUUGCUCGUAAAUUUAUUUCCCCAGUUCUUCAUCGUCUUUUUUAGGUCUGAGCUCUCUUAGCAGCUGCUAAGCACAAAUUUAUUCAACUGCAAUAUUAUCUGACCAUGAUGUCCUUCAUUACAGUGGGCCUUUGGGGAGCAAUGCUAGUAAACUGUAUUAUGACAACAUUAAAGUCUUUGAAUAAUACAAUUGAGCAAGUGAUGUUGGUAAUUUGUAUGUACUCAUACUAAAAUCCCAUAAAUUCGCUGCCAAAGUAUGUUAUUCCAAGCAGAACACAUUUGGCUCGUAUUGACAUAGCAUACAUCUUGCUGGGUCAGUGUGGCAGUCCCAUGACUUUUUACAAGUUAGAGUGCAAGAGAUUUAUCAUCAAGAGAUGAUGCAACGUUAGUGUCUUUGCACCGAUUCCAGAUGUUUUUCUUAAAAGAACAAAUCCUGAUCCUAACAUGGCCCUUAAAAUAAUACUGCGUCUGUUGCUUUAAAUGGGCACGUCGUGAAGAUAUUAAUGCAAGGUUGGCUGUUAUGACGUUGGCUCAGUUAAGGGCUAGAAUAAUAAGCUGUGACAGCUAUAGCAAAAGAUGUACAAACCUCCUGCUGUGGAUUUUCUUCUUUUUUUGUGUGUGUGGCUUUUUUGGCAGUAAUACAAAAUGGCUGAAAGAAAUUGUGUUUAGUAAAACCAUUUUAAACUAAUUAUCAUUAGUGAUCCAUUUCAUUUCCCCCGCAUUUUCAUAAGCUAUAAUAAAAAGCUACUGCAUGCUUUUUUAUUUUUUUUGCUGAAAGGGAAAAGAAGGAAUAUAGUUUAAAGAGGCAUUAAUAUUAACAUCUAAAUUAUUUUCAAUAUUAAAGUAAUUUAAAUAAUUAAUUUGAAUUAAUCCAAUCUUCUAAUAAAAUGUAAUUUUACAUUUAUAAGGUGUCUACCCCCGAAUCACCUAAAUGUACUGAAAGCUGUGCCAACUGUAAGUUAUCUGGCCUGGCAUGCUAAUUUUUUUAAUUUAUUUUUUAAAUACAUUUUACAGCCUGAUUUUGAACAGCCAAUAUACACUGACACGUACUGUAUGGUUUUUGUUCAUUAUAUAAUAGAAGAGGUGCGACUCAACAGAUUGGGACAUUUUGCAAAGACAGCAUUUAACUUACUUAUGUAUUUUCAUAUACCCACACUCUGAGCUGUGCUGUUACAGUGAGGGGAAAAAGUAUUUGAUCCCCUGCUGAUUUUAAACGUUUGCCCACUGACAAAGAAAUGAUCAGUCUAUAAUUUUAAUGUUAGGUGUAUUUUAACAGGGAGAGACAGAAUAACAAAAAAAAAAUCCAGAAAAACGCAUGUCAACAAAAGUUAUAAAUUGAUUUGUAUGUCAAUGAGUGAAAUAAGUAUUUGACCCCUUCAACUUAGUACUUGGUGGAAAAACCCUUAUUGGCAAUCACAGAGGUCAGGUGUUUCUUGUAGUUGGCCACCAGGUUUGCACACAUCUCAGGAGGGAUUUUGUCCCACUCCUCUUUGCAGAUCCUCUCCAAGUCAUUAAGGUUUUGAGGCUGACAUUUGGCAACUCGAACCUUCAGCUCCCUCCACAUAUUUUCUAUGGGAUUAAGGUCUGGAGACUGGCUAGGUCACUCCAGGACCUUAAUGUGCUUCCUUUUGAGACACUCCUUUGUUGCCUUUGCUGUGUGUUUUGGGUCAUUGUCAUGCUGGAAUACCGAUCCAAGACUCAUUUUCCAUGAGGAAAGGAGGUUCUCACCCAAGAUUUGACGGUACAUGGCUCUGUCUAUCAUCCUUUUGAUGCGGUGCAGUUUUUCUGUCCCCUUGGCAGAAAAACACCCACAAAGGAUAAUGUUUCCACCUCCAUGUUUGACGGUGGGAAUAGUGUUCUUGGCAUCACAGGCAGCAUUCCUCCUCCUCAAAACACAGCGAGUUGAGUUGAUGCCAAAGAGCUUGAUUUUGGUCUCAUCUGACCACAACACUUUCAUCCAAUUCUCCUCUGAAUCAUUCAGAUGUUCAUUGGCAAACUUCAGACGGGCCUGUACAUGUUCUUUCUUGAGCUGGGGGACCUUGCAGGCACUGCAGGAUUUCAGUCCUUCACGGCAUUGUGUGUUACCAAUUGCUUUCUUGGCGACUAUGGUCCCAGCUGCCUUGAGAUCAUAAACAAGUUCCUCCAGUGUAGUUCUGGGCUGAUUCCUCACCAUUCUCAUGAUCAUUGAAACUUCACAAGGUGAGAUCUUGCAUGGAGCACCAGACUGAGGGACACUGAUAGUUAUUUUGUGUUUCUUCCAUUUUGCGAAAAAUCGCACCAACUGUUGUCACCUUCUCACCAAGCUGCUUGGCUAUGGUCUUGAAGCCCAUUGUGUAGGUCUACAAUCUUAUCCCUGACAUCCUUGUACACCUCUUUGGUCUUGGCCAUGGUGGAGAGUUUGGAAUUUGAUUGAUUAAUUGCUUGCUUCUGUGGACAAGUGUCUUUUAUACAGGUAACGAGCUGAGAUAAGGAGCAUUCCCUUUUAGAGAGUGCUCCUAAUCUCAGCUCGUUACCUGUAUAAAAGACACGUGAGAGCCAGAAAUCUUGCUGAUUGAUAGGGAAUCAAAUAACUAUUUCACUACUUGACAUGCAAAUCAAUUUAUAACUUUUUUGACAUGCAUUUUUCUGGAUUUUUUUGUUUUGUUAUUCUGUCUCUUACUGUUAAAAUACUCCUACCGUUAAAAUUAUAGACUGAUCUUUUCUUUGUUAGUGGGUAAACAUUCAAAAUCAGCAGGGGAUCAAAUACUUUUUUCCCUUCACUGUAUAAAGGAGCAGGUGCAGUAAUUGCAGGAAAGGGAAAUACAGGUUAACAAUCAGAAAAUAUAAAUCCACACUUCUAACUCAAUCAAAUGCAUCCGCAACACAGUAGGCAUUCAGAUUCACUCUGUCUAGCUAAUUGUCCAUCUAUCCAUCCAUUCAUCCAUCCAUCCAUCAAUUUAUCCAUCCAUCAUGUUUAGUAUAUUUUUAUGAAAUACAAACAUAUUUGUAUAUAUUUAAUUUCUACUUGCUUUGAGAUCUACGUUCCUUUUUCUUGUUCAUAUUAUGAGAGGAAGCAGGCAGAGGAAGAAAGUGACAGUCACUGCACCAAAAGUGGAUUCAUUAAAAUGAAUAGCAUUUGCAGGUUGGGUAGCAUCUGCAGGUUGGGUAGCAUCAGCAGGUUGGAUAGCAUCUGUAGGUUACAUAGUUACAUAGUUACAUAGCUGAAAAGAGACUUGCGUCCAUUAAAUUCAGCCUUCCUCACAUAUGUUUUUGUUGUUGAUCCAUCGGUUGGGUAGCAUCUGUAGGUUGAGGGAAAGCCCAUGAAGAACAUUCAUCUGCUCAAAACAGAAUGAUAUUACCUACAGGUUAUAGCAACUAGUUCUCUGACCAAGGUUAGAAAUAGCACUGUGUAUAUACACACAAACAAGAAUGUAUUUGUUAGAUAGGUUUGUAUAUAUCUAUAUAUGUAAAAAAAGACUUGUGCACUGUGUCCUCACUUUGCUAGAUCAGCGGUUCAUGCUAAACUAACUUAUCAUGCUGCCGGUAAGUAUCAUGCUUACCUUAACACAUUCCUGAGCAAAAUCUUUCUCUUUAACAUGCUAUUUAUAAUUUAAAAAUAAUAACGUAAUUAUUAAAGUGUAAUUAUUGGUUAUAGAGCCUUCACAGGCAAUGGAACAUUCCUACAAUUUGCUCUACUUUUUGAGAUUUUCCCCCAAAUCAUUCUUUGUACUUAAGUCCAGUCCUAUCUGUGGAGUUCUAAGCGCAGUCCACGUGAUAAAAAUUCUCCCAGUAACGUAUUGACAUUAACCACACUGUAUAGAAGUGCUAAAUGGAAAACAUAUUUUAAGUACCGUAAAUGCUUUAUGGUGAAUUUUAACUGCACUAUAUACAUCACUGUCAGUCUACUAUUAGUAGCAAAAGAACAGCGAUGGCAGUUUAAUGAGAAAUAUCAUUCACUGGAUUCCAGUUUAGAAAACACAUAAGCAGCAAUAAACAGAGCAUGCAAAAGGAUAACUUUGACAUGUUUUAAAUAUUAUCAGCAAAUCAGGAAUUUCAGUUGAUACAUCUUUCAUUCCAAUAGGCAAACAUUGUAUGAAAUGAAGUGUCAAUAGAUCAUGAUGCACAGAGCUCCCUGUUACUGUGUCAUUUCACCUAAUGACUUGGAAACGUUGCGGCGUCCAAAAAACUGUCCCAUGGGUUAGUGAUGUUAAAGAGUGAAUGUUACUUUCUCUGCUGUCCAGGAUCUGUCCAGUUUGCACAUGCACUUUGGGCAGACACAUGUAGAGCACACAUUUCCCUCCUUUCUCCUGCUCUGGUGGUAGGCCGAGCUAUUCCUGUACGCAAGUAGCCUAUUAGCAGAACACUGCAGGCAGCCUGGUUCAAUGUGUGCAGAGCAGCAUGGCUGCCGCAUAGCUGCUAACAGUUUAUUGUGAUUAUUAACCUCUACUUUUUUAAUGGAAAAAGAGAAAAAUCUUAGACUAAAAAGAGAGGCUCCUGACCAGGAAAGCCUAUUAUUGAUAUGGUGGUUGCCGGACGGGGCAUUUUCACUUUGAAAGUGCAAAAGCUUCAGAAAUAUUGAAUGUAUUUUUCACUUUUUUACAUUUUUUUUUUUAUUUAUGCUUUUAUAUAAUUUUUUUCCCUUUAAAUUAAACUUCUGUCACACUACAUCUAACUCCUGGAAAUCUACCCCAUUGGGCAGUUAGUAGUCUUUAAUAUGUUUUGCCAAUCUCUGCUACCUGAUAUGCAUACCCAUAAUACUUACCAACAGAGAGCGAAAACAUAUUUUGAUUGGUUGCUCAUUUUCUAUUUAAAAAAAAAAAGUUCUUUAUUUACAAAAAGGUGUGUAUGUUGAGAUCCACACGUGUAUGACAAGGUCCGUUUCUGAUAAGCAAUAAAAUAUAAGGUACUAGUUAAUUAUAGUCCCACCAGUCAGGGCAACCAUUAUCAUUGUCAUAACAAGUGACUGGUAUUCUCAUAUUCUUAUAAUUAACAGACGUCAAAGAUAAUCUCCAGAGUGUGCUAUUUUAAUUGUACCUACAUCAAUUCAAUUCUGCUUUUAUAUAAUCAUUUCUUCCUUGGCUUCUAACAUAAUUUAUGUGUGCCUUGCUCACUCCCAUAAGGCACUUGGCUUGAAUCCAGAAAAUCAAGGCAAAUAGAAUUUUUGCAUUUUUUCACUAAGCCUCAUCGAGCCCACUGCUGUGGUAUAUAUGUCUGUAUUGUAUAUUGCAAUUUCAACAGAAUACAGGUCUAAACUCUUAUUUGUAGCAAACACAAACAUGUCAAAAUGUUGCUAUAGCAAUUUGCAUUAUAUAAUUUCUUACAUUCAAAAGAUGCAUUAGUAAAUCUCUAGAAAACUUGACCUGUAUAACACUGUUAUAUUUACACAAAGAACUCAAGCUAACAAAAACAUGAAAAAAAUAGCAAUUAAUUGACGUCUGAGAAAUCAGUUGCCUUCAUUGGCUAAAUGCAUUAUUGUAAUUGUUCUUGGAUAUUAUGAGAACUCUGCAGUUGAUUAUUAUUGUAAGUCAUACAAGGUCAAUGAACAUAUGAAGGUUAUUCAGAUUAUUUGAUUAACUUUGCAAUAAAUUCCUUACAUACAAUCCAUUGUUGUGUUUCUCUUGGUUAAAGGGGAGCUGUCACUGCCCAGAUUUUUAUAAUAGAGUGUUUACUAAUCCCCUAUAUUUAACUACUAUAUGUAUAUAAGGUCUGAAAUAAAAUUAAAUUUAGAAAUCCAUGCCACUAUAUGUAGAUGUAUUUAGGAAAGAUUAAAAAAAAAAAAAAAGGUCCAGGUAUUUCAAACCGCAGCAAGACAAAUUUAAUUAAACCAAGUACACAGCAAUGUUUUGACCCUAUAAUUGGUCUUUGUCAAGCUUGUAGUUUUGAAAUGUGGUGUGUACUUGGUUCCCCUACAAUGUGUCUUUGUCAAGCUUGACAAAGACCCAUUGUGGGGUCAAAAAGUUGCUGUGUACUUAGUUCCCUUACAAUGAGUCUUUGUCAAGCUUGAUGAAGACCCAUUGUAGACUUGAUACAUUGCUAUGUACUUGGUUCCCCUACAGUUGGUCUUUGCAAAGCUUGAUGAAGACCCAGUGUAGUUUUGAAACAUGGCGUGUACUUGGUUCCCCUACAAUGGGUAUUUGUCAAGCUUGACAAAGACCCAUUGUGGGGUCGAAACAUUGCUGUGUACUUAGUUCCCUUACAAUGGGCCUUUGUCAAGCUUGAUGACGACCCAUUGUAGUUUUGAAACGUGGUGUGUACUUGGUUCCUCUACAAUGGGUAUUUGUCAACCUUGGCAAAGACCCAUUGUAGGGUUGAAAUGUUGCUCUGUACUUGGUUCCAAUAUAUUUGCCUUACUGAGCUUUGGAGUGCCUGGACCUUUUUUUUCUCUUUCCUGAAUACAAUAUUGUGUGGGGAUUAUGCUAGUCUCUGGUUUGGUUACACUCAAUUGUUGCUUUUUUGAAUGAGUGCAGUUCCUUAAUUUUUCUUAUUGUAUUUAAGUAUGUCCUGGACAUAAGCAGCUCCAUCUUGGCUCCCUGUCAAUUUUUAUAAUUUCUCUUCUCUGCAUAUGUCAGUUAGUACAGAGAAAGGAGGUGUCUACUAGACUGCACAAACAAAUUGUGAUUUGUCCAGAUUUUGGGCUAACAGUGAGUCCGAACUCCAAAACACCAAAUCACAAAACAAUCAAAAUGAGUAAUGAACGAGUCAUUUGGUUUGUUUUGUGAUUCAGAGUUCUGUCCAUGGUGGAAUUUGUUUCUUUUAAAAUUGAUUGAUGGAAAAAAGAUGACUGAUGACUAGAGGAUAGCCACUAAGUGUUGAUUUUAUUCACAGAUUAAGUGAGAGGUGAUGAACAGAACGAAACAAAAAAGCAGGAGUAGUAAAAAAAAAAUCGGCAUUUUAAAAUUUCAUAAAAAUAUAAUGUAUAAAUAUAGAUUUUUUUAUUUUACUGAUUCUCCUCUUUUGUUUUCUUUAUGCGUUACUUCUUCUUACUUGAACUGUGAACCAAAUGGAGCAAAAAUGCUGCAAAAUAUAGACAAACUACUUACAUUUUGCAGUAAACUGAUUGACCAACUUUUGCACACUUUUGGUUUGUCCAAAAUUGCUUUCCCAAAACAAUACAACAGGUGCACUAGAUAUGCCUGGACUGAACUGGAUUUUGAUGUAAUUUGCUCAAUCUUUAAAAUACAUUUAAAGACAACAGAGCAUAACAUGAGCGAAAAAAAGUAAAAAAAAAAAAUGGGAAAAAAGUUAAUAGAAGUUGUAGGUGAUUUUAAAUGUUUUAUUUGAUGGUGUGAGUUCAAGAAUAGUGACGGUUCCCCUUAAACUCUUAAAAAAUUUCAUGUGAACAUUGAUCACACUUAAAUUAUAUUCACCCCAAAUCGUGAAAUAUCUGGAACAUAGCAGGUGUCUUCAAAAGCAAUGUAUUAAUAUUUAAAUGACAUGCAUUUGCAUUUGUACAUAGUAAUGUAUAUGCCUUGACGUACACACAGAGACCAGUCAAACUGACAUUUCUUUUAUUCUCUAUCAAAUAGAUACAGUUUGCAUGAUCAUUUUAUUUAUAUUGAUAUUAUAAGCAAAUAUCUGCAAAAGAAACUUGAUGUACUGUGAAGGACAUAAUCCGAUAAAGCUUUUUUUUUUUCAUUUAUUAUCUCAUCAGAAUGUGGUGCUGUAAAAAAAAGAAAAAAGAAAAAAAAAGUGUAGACAAAUUUCUAAACCUGUAUAAUUGAUAUUAUGUUUUUAUAUACUAUAUGAGGACAAUUAUUAAAUUAAUGAUAGUUAAUUACAUAUGUAUGUUAAAAGAAAACUCUUUCAAUAAAAAUUUAUUUUGUGUUUUCUUUCUAAUGUUCAAUUGUUUAAAAUGUUUACGAACUGUAAGCCUAUUAUAUCAUUUCUAUAAUCUUGAUUGUUUAAUGUAUACUCUAUAAAAGUGGAUGAUAUAAUUGUAUAUUUGAUGACUUGUAAAUAUAUCUCUGGAUACUUCUUGCCCUUCUGAAUAUUUAAAGUGAUAAACCGUUAGAAUCUCUGGUGUAUAUUCACAUUCACCAGCAAUAAAUUGCUUCAAUGUUUGUGGCUGUUUACUGGAAAUUGAAGACAUCUGAGCUUUGGGGCCUGAUAAUGAAACAACAGAGAAAAUAUCAAAAGGAUGGUUCAGUGACAAAGGAAUCAUCCGGGGGUUGUUACAUAGUAACUCACACAUUAAAAAGAUUACAGAACACACUAAAUCACUUUUCACAACCCGUAUCCAUACUUAUAUAUAAAUGCUACCCUAGUACUGCCCAUUCUUAAGAUAUCCUUAAAAAGACACUGCAGUUUAGGAGUUAUACUGCCAAUAAAAACAUGAAUGCAUUUAACUGUGCAUUAUUUGAUUAAGGGUAUAUCUAGAACAGCUUGCAAAUGCUUCAGAUCUCUUUUCUGCAACAUUUGCAAGUCCUCUUCUAGCCCAGCUCAGACGUUCUGUGGCUGUUCAAUUACAGACCUACCAAUGCAGUGCAAUAAGAAGCCUUUGUAAGGCAGGUGCUCUGGGCUAUUGCUGACUCUUGAGCUCUUGAGUUUAGCUCUACUGAGCUAAGCAUCCAGGAAGUAAAAUGACCAGUUGCCCAAUUGACAGCCAAGAGGGUGUAACAAAGAUAAUUUAUAAUAGUGCCAAUUUAUACUGAACAAAAGUAAACACACUCUUCACACAUAAUGUACUUCAGUAAGCUGAAGUGCUUUAGGGGUUGGGAGAGUCCUUUUAACCACAAAUUUGCAGAUUAUGCUUUUGAGAUGGGAUGGUAUUUGUAGUUAUAUAAAAUAUACCUAGUCCCAGAUCUACAAUUGUAUUAAUUCCAUUUAGAAAAAUUGUUCUGAUAUAGUUAUCUAUUAGGAGGCUAGAGAAUUCUGAAUUGAAUUUGAGGGACUUGCAACCUAAAUGUGUUACUAAAUAACUAUAAUCCCUGUUCCCCAUCAUGUGCUAAUAGGAGUGGCUUAGUGUUGUACAGAGUACGUCAACCAAUCCACUGCUCUCUCCUACCACUGUGUAUAGUAAAGGUUACAAUAAAUAGAAAUUUUAACAAAAACUCAUCCGAUUUAACAAAACUUAAAAAAAAACAAAAAAAC